rnacentral:rRNA from 1 species
GAUGAACGCUGGCGGCGUGCCUAAUACAUGCAAGUCGAGCGAACAGACGAGGAGCUUGCUCCUUUGACGUUAGCGGCGGACGGGUGAGUAACACGUGGGUAACCUACCUAUAAGACUGGGAUAACUUCGGGAAACCGGAGCUAAUACCGGAUAAUAUUUCGAACCGCAUGGUUCGAUAGUGAAAGAUGGCUUUGCUAUCACUUAUAGAUGGACCUGCGCCGUAUUAGCUAGUUGGUAAGGUAACGGCUUACCAAGGCAACGAUACGUAGCCGACCUGAGAGGGUGAUCGGCCACACUGGAACUGAGACACGGUCCAGACUCCUACGGGAGGCAGCAGUAGGGAAUCUUCCGCAAUGGGCGAAAGCCUGACGGAGCAACGCAGCGUGAGUGACGAAGGUCUUCGGAUCGUAAAACUCUGUUAUUAGGGAAGAACAAACGUGUAAGUAACUGUGCACGUCUUGACGGUACCUAAUCAGAAAGCCACGGCUAACUACGUGCCAGCAGCCGCGGUAAUACGUAGGUGGCAAGCGUUAUCCAGAAUUAUUGGGCGUAAAGCGCGCGUAGGCGGUUUUUUAAGUCUGAUGUGAAAGCCCACGGCUCAACCGUGGAGGGUCAUUGGAAACUGGAAAACUUGAGUGCAGAAGAGGAAAGUGGAAUUCCAUGUGUAGCGGUGAAAUGCGCAGAGAUAUGGAGGAACACCAGUGGCGAAGGCGACUUUCUGGUCUGUAACUGACGCUGAUGUGCGAAAGCGUGGGGAUCAAACAGGAUUAGAUACCCUGGUAGUCCACGCCGUAAACGAUGAGUGCUAAGUGUUAGGGGGUUUCCGCCCCUUAGUGCUGCAGCUAACGCAUUAAGCACUCCGCCUGGGGAGUACGACCGCAAGGUUGAAACUCAAAGGAAUUGACGGGGACCCGCACAAGCGGUGGAGCAUGUGGUUUAAUUCGAAGCAACGCGAAGAACCUUACCAAAUCUUGACAUCCUCUGACUCCUCUAGAGAUAGAGUUUUCCCCUUCGGGGACAGAGUGACAGGUGGUGCAUGGUUGUCGUCAGCUCGUGUCGUGAGAUGUUGGGUUAAGUCCCGCAACGAGCGCAACCCUUAAGCUUAGUUGCCAUCAUUAAGUUGGGCACUCUAAGUUGACUGCCGGUGACAAACCGGAGGAAGGUGGGGAUGACGUCAAAUCAUCAUGCCCCUUAUGAUUUGGGCUACACACGUGCUACAAUGGACAAUACAAAGGGCAGCGAAACCGCGAGGUCAAGCAAAUCCCAUAAAGUUGUUCUCAGUUCGGAUUGUAGUCUGCAACUCGACUAUAUGAAGCUGGAAUCGCUAGUAAUCGUAGAUCAGCAUGCUACGGUGAAUACGUUCCCGGGUCUUGUACACACCGCCCGUCACACCACGAGAGUUUGUAACACCCGAAGCCGGUGGAGUAACCAUUUGGAGCUAGCCGUCGAAGGUGGGACAAAUGAUUGGGGUGAAGUCGUAACAAGGUAGUCGUAUCGGAAGG